UUUGGCGUUGCAAUGAAAAUGGG
rnacentral:piRNA from 1 species